GUGCUCCCUUCAGCAGCACAUAUACUAAAAUUGGAACGAUACAGAGAAGAUUAGCAUGGCCCCUGUGCAAGGAUGACAUGCAAAUUCAUGAAGCAUUCCAUAUUUUU
ensembl:snRNA U6 U6 spliceosomal RNA